rnacentral:rRNA from 1 species
UNUACGGGAGGCAGCAGUAGGAUNUUCCGCAAUGGANGCAAGUNUGACGGAGCAACGCGCGUGAGUGAAGAAGGUUUUCGGAUNGUAAAGCUNUUUUGUUAGGGAAGAACANGUACCGUUUGAAUAGGGCUGUNCCUUGNGUGUCCCUCCCCAAAAACCCGGGUAUAUUUACGCCCCCGCAGCCGGGGUAAUAUGUGGGGGGCAAGUUUUCUCGGAAUUUUUGGGGUAAAAAGCGCGCGCAGGGGGUCUUUAAUNUGAGAUGAAAAAGCCCGGGUCUCACCCGGGGAGUCUCAUGGAAANGGGGAGGNUUAGAGUACAGAAGAGGAGAGGGAAUUUCCNCGUGUAGCGGAAAAAUGUGGAGAUAUGGGGGGGCACCCCAGGGGAAAAGGCGGCUCUGGGGUCUAAGAGAGACGGAGGGGCGAAAAAGUGGGGGGAGCACACGGGUUUAGAUCCCGGGNUAGUCCACCCUNUAAGAGGAGAGUUAUGGGUGUGGGGGGUUCCAACCCUUAGUGCUGCAGUUAACGCANUAANCACC